rnacentral:rRNA from 1 species
GAUGAACGCUGGCGGCGUGCUUAACACAUGCAAGUCGAACGGGAAACCUUUUAUUGAAGCUUCGGCAGAUUUAGCUGGUUUCUAGUGGCGGACGGGUGAGUAACGCGUGGGUAACCUGCCUUAUACAGGGGGAUAACAACCAGAAAUGGUUGCUAAUACCGCAUAAGCGCACAGGACCGCAUGGUCCGGUGUGAAAAACUCCGGUGGUAUAAGAUGGACCCGCGUUGGAUUAGCUAGUUGGCAGGGUAACGGCCUACCAAGGCGACGAUCCAUAGCCGGCCUGAGAGGGUGAACGGCCACAUUGGGACUGAGACACGGCCCAGACUCCUACGGGAGGCAGCAGUGGGGAAUAUUGCACAAUGGGGGAAACCCUGAUGCAGCGACGCCGCGUGAAGGAAGAAGUAUCUCGGUAUGUAAACUUCUAUCAGCAGGGAAGAUAGUGACG